AUUGAGCGCUGGCGGCAUGCCUUACACAUGCAAGUCGAACGGUAACAGGUCUUCGGAUGCUGACGAGUGGCGAACGGGGGAGUAAUACAUCGGAACGUGCCUAGUAGUGGGGGAUAACUACUCGAAAGAGUGGCUAAUACCGCAUGAGAUCUACGGAUGAAAGCAGGGGAUCGCAAGACCUUGUGCUACUAGAGCGGCCGAUGGCAGAUUAGGUAGGUGGUGGGAUAAAAGCUUACCAAGCCGACGAACUGUAGCUGGUCUGAGAGGACGAUCAGCCACACUGGGACUGAGAAACGGCCCAGACUCCUACGGGAGGCAGCAGUGGGGAAUUUUGGACAAUGGGCGCAAGCCUGAUCCAGCAAUGCCGCGUGCAGGAUGAAGGCCUUCGGGUUGUAAACUGCUUUUGUACGGAACGAAAAGCCCCGGGUUAAUACCCUGGGGUCAUGACGGUACCGUAAGAAUAAGCACCGGCUAACUACGUGCCAGCCGCCGCCGUAA
rnacentral:rRNA from 1 species